rnacentral:rRNA from 1 species
UACGUAGGGUGCAAGCUUUGUCCGGAAUUAUUGGGCGUAAAGAGCGUGUAGGCGGCCCGAUUAGUCCGCUGUGAAAGUCCAGGGCUCAACCCUGGAAUGCCGGUGGAUACUGUCGGGCUAGAGUCCGGAAGGGGCGAGUGGAAUUCCUGGUGUAGCGGUGAAAUGCGCAGAUAUCAGGAGGAACACCAAUGGCGAAGGCAGCUCGCUGGGACGUGACUGACGCUGAGACGCGAAAGCGUGGGGAGCAAACAGG